rnacentral:rRNA from 1 species
UACGAAGGGGGCAAGCGUUGUUCGGAAUUACUGGGCGUAAAGGGCGCGUAGGCGGCUUAUCAAGUCAGACGUGAAAUCCCCAGGCUCGACCUGGGAACUGCGUCUGAUACUGGAUGGCUUGAGUUCGGGAGAGGGAAGUGGAAUUCCAGGUGUAGCGGUGAAAUGCGUAGAUAUCUGGAGGAACACCGGUGGCGAAGGCGGCUUCCUGGACCGACACUGACGCUGAGGCGCGAAAGCGUGGGGAGCAAACAGG